rnacentral:rRNA from 1 species
GUUGUAUGGUUAAGUGACUAAGCGUACACGGUGGAUGCCUUGGCAGUCAGAGGCGAUGAAGGACGUAUUAACUUGCGAUAAGCCCAGAUUAGGUAGUAAAAACCUUUUGAGUCUGGGAUUUCCGAAUGGGGAAACCCACUUACAUAAGUAAGUAUCUUGUUGUGAAUACAUAGCAACAAGAGGCAAACCGGGGGAACUGAAACAUCUAAGUACCCCGAGGAAGAGAAAUCAACCGAGAUUCCGAAAGUAGCGGCGAGCGAAAUUGGAUUAGCCCUUAAGCUUUUAAUGAUGCAGGUGAAGAGUCUGGAAAGUCUCGCAAUAAAGGGUGAUAGCCCCGUAACCGACACAUCAUAAUCAGUGAAAUCGAGUAGGGCGGGACACGUGAUAUCCUGUCUGAAUAUGGGGGGACCAUCCUCCAAGGCUAAAUACUACUGACUGACCGAUAGUGAACCAGUACCGUGAGGGAAAGGCGAAAAGAACCCCUGUGAGGGGAGUGAAAUAGAACCUGAAACCGUGUACGUACAAGCAGUAGGAGCACCUUCGUGGUGUGACUGCGUACCUUUUGUAUAAUGGGUCAGCGACUUAUAUUCAGUGGCAAGGUUAACCGUUUAGGGGAGCCGUAGGGAAACCGAGUCUUAACUGGGCGUUCAGUCUCUGGAUAUAGACCCGAAACCA